CUGCAAGUCUUAGAGUCCCCUCCAUACCUAGGAGGAGGUGUUAAAUGGGCCGAAGUAUUAGGCAAAGUAGAUACUUCAGGGAGAAGGGGCGUAGGAGGGUUAGGUGUGGUUGCUGGAACGGUUCUAGCUAGGAGCGUCUGGAGAGCCUGAGCUAUUUGAUCCAUACGGUGAUCCUGCUCUACAAAUCUUGCCUCAUGGGACGCCAUCUGUUGAGCUAAAUCUGCGGGGUCCAUGGCCCUAUCAUAAUGUAACGAGAAUAUACCCCUACACGCAGGAUCCAGCUAAACAGAGGCAAAUACAGAGGAGAGAUACGUCUACCGGACCUUAG